rnacentral:rRNA from 1 species
UACGUAGGGUGCGAGCGUUAAUCGGAAUUACUGGGCGUAAAGCGUGCGCAGGCGGUCCGCAAAGUCUGAUGUGAAAGCCCCGGGCUUAACCUGGGAACUGCAUUUGUGACUGCAUAGCUAGAGUACGGUAGAGGGGGAUGGAAUUCCGCGUGUAGCAGUGAAAUGCGUAGAUAUGCGGAGGAACACCGAUGGCGAAGGCAAUCCCCUGGACCUGUACUGACGCUCAUGCACGAAAGCGUGGGGAGCAAACAGG